rnacentral:rRNA from 1 species
GACGAACGCUGGCGGCGUGCUUAACACAUGCAAGUCGAACGGAAAGGCCCCUUUGGGGGUACUCGAGUGGCGCACGGGUGCGUAACACGUGAGUAACCUGCCCUUGACUUCGGGAUAACUUCAGGAAACUGGGGCUAAUACCGGAUAGGAAUCCUUGCUGCAUGGUGGGGGUUGGAAAGCUCCGGCGGUUUUGGAUGGACUCGCGGCCUAUCAGCUUGUUGGUGGGGUAGUGGCUUACCAAGGCUUUGACGGGUAGCCGGCCUGUGAGGGUGACCGGCCACAUUGGGACUGAGAUACGGCACAGACUCCGACGGGAGGCAGCAGUGGGGAAGAUUGCACAAUGGGCGGAAGCCUGAUGCAGCAACGCCGCGGGCGGGAUGACGGUCUUGGGGUUGUAAACCGCUUUCAGCAGGGGCGAAGCUUGUGGUGACGGUACCUGCAGAAGAAGCACCGGCUAACUACGUG